rnacentral:rRNA from 1 species
UUCCGGUUGAUCCUGCCGGACGGCCACCGCUAUUGGAAUUCGAUUAAGACAUGCGAGUCGAGAGUCGCAAGGACUCGGCGGACCGCUCAGUAACACGCGGAUAACAUGCCCUUGGGUGGGGGAUAACCUCGGGAAACUGAGAAUAAUACCCCAUAGAUCUAGAAAGCUGGAAUGCUUCAAGAUCGAAAACUCCGGUGCCCAAGGAUUGGUCUGCGGCGUAUCAGGUUGUAGUGGGUGUAACGGACCCCCUAGCCUAUGACGCGUAAGGGCCUUGAGAGAGGGAGCCCUGAGAUGGACUCUGAGACAUGAGUCCAGGCCCUACGGGGCGCAGCAGUCGCGAAAACUUCACAAUGGGGGAAACCCCGAUGAGGGAAUUCCAAGUGCCAGCACAUUGUGUUGGCUGUUCUCUGGUCUAAAAAACCGGAGAAGUAAGGGCCGGGUAAGACGGGUGCCAGCCGCCGCGGUAAUACCCGCGGCCCAAGUGGUGGUCGAUAUUAUUGAGCCUAAAACGUCCGUAGCCGGUCUUGUAAAUCCUUGGGUAAAUCGACCAGCUCAACUGUUCGAAGUCCGGGGAGACUGCAAGACUUGGGAUCGGGAGAGGUGAGAGGUACUUCUGGGGUAGGGGUAAAAUCCUGUAAUCCUAGAAGGACCACCGGUGGCGAAGGCGUCUCACUAGAACGAAUCCGACGGUGAGGGACGAAGCCCUGGGGCGCAAACGGGAUUAGAUACCCCGGUAGUCCAGGGUGUAAACGCUGCGGGCUUGGUGUUGGGGGUCCUUUGAGGGCGCCCAGUGCCGGAGAGAAGUUGUUAAGCCUGCUGCUUGGGGAGUACGUCCGCAAGGAUGAAACUUAAAGGAAUUGGCGGGGGAGCACCGCAACGGGAGGAGCGUGCGGUUCAAUUGGAUUCAACGCCGGG